rnacentral:rRNA from 1 species
GACGAACGCUGGCGGCGUGCCUAAUACAUGCAAGUCGAGCGAACAGAGAAGGAGCUUGCUCCUUUGACGUUAGCGGCGGACGGGUGAGUAACACGUGGGCAACCUACCUUAUAGUUUGGGAUAACUCCGGGAAACCGGGGCUAAUACCGAAUAAUCUGUUUCACCUCAUGGUGAAAUAUUGAAAGACGGUUUCGGCUGUCGCUAUAGGAUGGGCCCGCGGCGCAUUAGCUAGUUGGUGAGGUAACGGCUCACCAAGGCGACGAUGCGUAGCCGACCUGAGAGGGUGAUCGGCCACACUGGGACUGAGACACGGCCCAGACUCCUACGGGAGGCAGCAGUAGGGAAUCUUCCACAAUGGGCGAAAGCCUGAUGGAGCAACGCCGCGUGAGUGAAGAAGGAUUUCGGUUCGUAAAACUCUGUUGUAAGGGAAGAACAAGUACAGUAGUAACUGGCUGUACCUUGACGGUACCUUAUUAGAAAGCCACGGCUAACUACGUGCCAGCAGCCGCCGAAA